AUGCAGGGUGUGUCUGCUCCUAAAGUGAUCGUCCUGCCGCCGUCCAGUGAAGAGAUUUCCAGCAAGAAGACAGCAACAGUGAUGUGUGUGGCCAGCAAUGGUUUCCCUUCAGACUGGAGUCUGAGCUGGAAAGUGAAUGGGAAGAUGUCAGGAUCUCAGGAGAACAGAGCUGGAGUCCUACAGAAAGACGGCGGUCUGUACAGCUGGAGCAGCAGUCUGACUCUCACUGAACAAGAAUGGAUCAACAGAGACUCAGUGAUCUGUGAGAUCAGUCGGGAAGGUCAGACAGUCACUGGAGAAGUGAAGAAAGAUCUGUGUUCUGAGUAGAUCCUCUCUUCUUCUCAUCUCUUCUUCUCAUUCAUGUCUCACAUCAACAGUGAACAACUAUUCAUACAACACUCUGUCUCUCUGCUUUAUUCAUUCUGUCUGCUUUUAAUAAAUGUCAAUAAAAGUGAAGUAACAUUAUAUUCUCUUGAUUUCUUUUGUCUCUUUUAUAAAUGUGUUGAUACUUCAGCAGUUCACACAUCUCACAUUUAUAAAUAAACUUCACUCAAUGAAGCAUGAAGACACCUGCAGAUAAACUGACACAAGACCAGAAAGACAAACCAGCAACCACUUACAUUUGAUCUUAUGAAUGUCAUGAAUAUUAAAACAGAAGACAUACUGUGAGAAAAGCUUCAUUAUAAAUGAGUUUUUAUUUGACUAGUUUUAGUGUUUGUUGAUUUUAUUGGAGGAACAUCAAACUCUUGUGUAUGAACAUCUGCUCUGUUCUGAGAGGAACUGAAUCUCUUCAUCCUGAAGAUACAAAUAUGAGUUGAACUCUCAGUUUCACUCUUUGACUCUUUAUUCUCUGAAAUGAGACGCUGAUGAGUUUAACUGAUGGAUGAAGAAAUGAGCUUUGAUCAGAUUCAACACUUCACAAUGAGUCUGAUCUCAGAAGUCAGAUUAAUAUAUUGAAUAUUUAGAGAAGAUCAAAUGAAGAAAUGUUUUUAACCUGCACUUCAACAUUCAAGAUUUAUUUCUCACAUCCACAGAUAUAUAAAUACACAACUAUAGCAG